AGACUCAGAGCAGAAGAGCUGUCCUGAAGAGAUGUAGUUCAGUGGAGGUACCAGGGAAAGGACUCUCUCCAGCCUGCAGGCUGUCACUCCUGCUGGCUGGGCCUGGAUGGUGCCUGAAGGCUGCAGUGGGCUCCUGCUUUCCCAGCUCCUGUGAGCUUUCACUCCUGUUGGAUGGUGCCUUUCAGUCAUUUCUGCUGCUGUUGAAAGCAACCAACAGAAGAAUAUUUCUGUGGCAACUGAAAGGUAUCUAUGGAUUCAGAUUUUGCUUUGAAAAACCAACCUAUGGGAACACAGCUCUGUCAGUGGCUUUUUUCUCUCUCUGACCCAGUGCCUGACCAACAACACUAACUGGGGGAAGAAGGGUCUACUUUGCCUCACAGUUGGAAGAGAUGCAGUUCACCCUGGUGGGCAGGCAGGGCAGCAGGAGGCACUGAAGCAGCUGGUGAGACUGUGGCUGCAUCCGGAAGCAGAGAAAGAGGAAUCCAGUGCUCAGCUCUGCCAUUGUCUUCCUGACUCAGGCCAGGACCGGUCUGUGGGAUGGCGACACCCUCCUAGACACACCCAAAGAUCAAGACGGCAAUGAAGAUGAACUAAGACAUCAACCAUAGCUGCUCUAUUGUAUGUUACCUAUGUGACUUCUGUGCAAUUAUGUCAGGGCUGAGUGGGUUACAACACAGGGUACACCCAGCCCCCUGGGCAUUUAUUACCUGGCCCUUUAUGGAAAAGAAAAAGUGCGGGCCUCUGUUGUAUGGGAAGGUUUUCAGAGUGCCAGUUAGCUCACUGGAGAUGAGUUAACGGAGCAUGUGAAUAGCCACAGGGAAGGGCUUGCAUGCACCGCAGCUCACUGUGGGUCCCUCCCACUGGCUGUAAGUGUGUGCUUGCAUACCCCGAGCUGUGUGAUUCCUUGGCCUUGUAAGUCCUGGAGGAGAGGCUGGCAGAGGGAAACCCUCCCUCCCUCCCCUCCCUUCAACUUUCCCCGGAGCCGGACUUGGCUCAGCCUUGGUGGUGAUUUCAGUCACCUGCUGGUAACCUGGGCUUUACUCGACUCCCACCGUGCUAUAAACUUCAUAACAUAGAAUGUA
rnacentral:lncRNA from 1 species